AUUACGUCAGGUGAGCUACUUCUUGUUAGGGAAGUUGAGGAUGUUGCGAGCUCUGGUCGUGCUGUCAGCCCUGUGCGGCGCCUUGGUGUCCGCCGAUGGAUUCGCCAAGAAAUACGGCUACUCCAAGGUGAUGGCCAACUGCUUCGGCGAAGACCAGUACUACAGCUGGUCGAAGGAGGUGUUCAGGGCCGUCAAGGAUGC